UUAGAAAUCUUUGUUUGUUCUAUGCACACAUGGCACCUACACCUUUGCAUACACAGUGAGUUAUUGGGCCCUAUACCCGGGUCCAUGGAGACAUAGGAAGUGGAGGUUGAUCUGUGGUCAUGUUGGGUCUCUGACUCGCUUGAUGACAGUGAAGCAUCAUCUAGAGUUUUUCUCUUUGAUGAUACAUUGUCACUAGUAGUCCUUAUCGCC
rnacentral:lncRNA from 1 species